UACAGAGGGGGCAAGCGUUGUUCGGAAUUACUGGGCGUAAAGGGCGCGUAGGCGGCCUGUUAAGUCGGACGUGAAAUCCCCGGGCUCAACCCGGGAACUGCGUCCGAUACUGGCAGGCUUGAAUCCGGGAGAGGGAUGUGGAAUUCCAGGUGUAGCGGUGAAAUGCGCAGAUAUCAGGAGGAACACCGGUGGCGAAGGCGGUUCUCUGGGCCUUACCUGACGCUGAGGAGCGAAAGCGUGGGGAGCGAACAGG
rnacentral:rRNA from 1 species